AAAUUUCACAUUGACGUCUCCCAAAAAGUGGUUAGAUGGGGUUAUUGAGUGCAAAAAAUCCAUUUUCUUUUAAGAUAGGGUUGUUGUAUAUCAAAUGAAAGGUCAUGAUGUGUACAUUUGAAAUAUCAAAUUCCUGACCUCUAAAAAUUAGUUGGAUAGGGUUAUUAAGUGCAAAAAUCAAACUUUCUAGAACAUGACAUUGUCGCAUAUCAAAUGAAAGCUCAUCUACUCUAUGUUACAUAUAUCAUAAUUUCGAUCUCAAAAAAGUCAGCGAAAAGUUUCAGAAGGUAAGCUUGUCG
rnacentral:lncRNA from 1 species